rnacentral:rRNA from 1 species
GAUGAACGCUGGCGGCGUGCUUAACACAUGCAAGUCGAACGGAAAGGCUCCUGCUUGCAGGGGUACUCGAGUGGCGAACGGGUGAGUAACACGUGGGUGAUCUGCCCUGCACUUCGGGAUAAGCUUGGGAAACUGGGUCUAAUACCGGAUAGGACCGCAUUUUGGAUGGUGUGGUGGAAAGUUUUUUCGGUGUGGGAUGAGCUCGCGGCCUAUCAGCUUGUUGGUGGGGUAAUGGCCUACCAAGGCGUCGACGGGUAGCCGGCCUGAGGGGGUGUACGGCCACAUUGGGACUGAGAUACGGCCCAGACUCCUACGGGAGGCAGCAGUGGGGAAUAUUGCACAAUGGGCGCAAGCCUGAUGCAGCGACGCCGCGUGGGGGAUGACGGCCUUCGGGUUGUAAACUCCUUUCGCUAGGGACGAAGAGUAAUUGACGGUACCUGGAGAAGAAGCACCGGCUAACUACGUG